rnacentral:rRNA from 1 species
UACGGAGGGGGCAAGCGUUGUUCGGAAUUACUGGGCGUAAAGGGCGCGUAGGCGGCACGGCAAGUCAGGAGUGAAAGCCCGGGGCUCAACCCCGGAAUGUCUUUUGAUACUGCCGAGCUAGAGUGCGGAAGAGGCAACUGGAAUUCCCAGUGUAGCGGUGAAAUGCGUAGAUAUUGGGAAGAACACCUGAGGCGAAGGCGGGUUGCUGGGCCGACACUGACGCUGAGGCGCGAAAGCCAGGGGAGCGAACGGG